UCCUGGAGGACAAGCUGCUCUGGCAGGACUCACGUUACAGACCCCUCUACCCCUUCAGCCUGCCCUACAGCGACUUCCCCCGACCCCUACCCCACGCUACCCAGGGCCCAGCGGCCACCCCGUACCACUGUUGAUGUGAAGCACCUCUUCUGAGCCAGGCCGAGCCCCUGGCCGACUUGGGAGCCUCAGGCCCACGCCCACCCUUCGAGGAAGGUGUCACCUGGACCCCUUCAUUCCACGGAGGAAGCUGAGGCCACAGGGAGCGGCCAUCGCCAUUGGGAAGGGGCGACUCCACGGAAAGCCCAGACGGGCUUCUGCAUCCAUUCCCUCUUUUUGUUUUUAAAAUAAAUUGUAUUUUUGAAUCAAGGAGGA
rnacentral:lncRNA from 1 species